rnacentral:rRNA from 1 species
AGUGAACGCUGGCGGUAGGCCUAACACAUGCAAGUCGAACGGCAGCACAGUAAGAGCUUGCUCUUACGGGUGGCGAGUGGCGGACGGGUGAGGAAUACAUCGGAAUCUACUUUUUCGUGGGGGAUAACGUAGGGAAACUUACGCUAAUACCGCAUACGACCUACGGGUGAAAGCAGGGGAUCUUCGGACCUUGCGCGAUUGAAUGAGCCGAUGUCGGAUUAGCUAGUUGGCGGGGUAAAGGCCCACCAAGGCGACGAUCCGUAGCUAGUCUGAGAGGAUGAACAGCCAACAUUGAACUGGGACACGGGCCCAGCUCCUACGGGAGGCAGCAGGGGGGAAUAUUGGAAAAAGGGCGGAAGUCUGAUCCAGCCAAUCCGCGUUGGUGAAGAAAGCCUUUGGGUUGUAAAGGCCUUUUGUUGGGAAAGAAAAGCAGCAGGUUAAUACCCCGCUGUUCUGACGGGACCCAAAGAAUAAGCACCGGCUAACUUCGU